rnacentral:rRNA from 1 species
CGCGUAGGUGGUUCGUUAAGUUGGAUGUGAAAUCCCCGGGCUUAACCUGGGGACUGCAUCCAAAACUGGCGAGCUAGAGUAGGGCAGAGGGUGGUGGAAUUUCCUGUGUAGCGGUGAAAUGCGUAGAUAUAGGAAGGAACACCAGUGGCGAAGGCGACCACCUGGGCUCAUACUGACACUGAGGUGCGAAAGCGUGGGGAGCAAACA